rnacentral:lncRNA from 1 species
AUGAGAUGGAGCUUUAGUUUGGAUGGUACAAACAUGUACUAAUGUACGAUCAUUCAAAAAUUCAAUGCACGAAAGUCUCUGGUGAGUGUUUAAACAACUCUUUGUAUCUUCAAACACCAGUUGUUCAGAGCGAAUCAGUCGGGAGAUUUGUUCCCUGACCAAUGACUAGCUAUGCGAUAUCAUACAUAUGGAACCUGAAAGUACACUUAAUAUUGGCAG